AUUCCUCUCGUUGAAACCUUCAAGAAGCACUACUCAUUUGUGUGUUUCGGUGAAGUUGAUGCCGGACCCUGUCGGCGCCCCAGUACGUCGUCACGUUUCAUUGACUCUGCAAAUUCGUCGAUGCUUUUGGACUCGUUUGGACGUGUUGUUGACAUCUCAUGGUUGCUGAAAAUCAUUAUGGUCCUUUUAUCUUAUGAAAGCGUCAAAUUGAGUUAUUUCAGGUUAUCGAUUGGGGAACCACGCUCUGAAUAGGUGAUAUUGGGUGGGAGUAAUUUUUCGUAUUUUGUUGAGUUAUGAACAAUUUAGAUUUUUGUAAAUUUGAUUGAUCAAUUGUGUUAUUUUAUCGGUUAUUCAGAGGUAGAAAUUAAUUGUCUCUAAGUUUAGAACUUGCUUUUAUAUCAAAAGUAUUUAUUUAAUGAACAUCAACUAUAUUCGAUAUUAAGAAAUUUUUUUUAUUGAACAUUUUUAUGCAAGCAUUUUGUGUAAGCGUGAA